rnacentral:rRNA from 1 species
AUUGAACGCUGGCGGCAGGCCUAACACAUGCAAGUCGAUCGGAGCGGCGGACGGCUGAGUAAUGCCUAGGAAACUGCCUGGUUGAGGGGGAUAACGUCCGGAAACAGGCGCUAAUACCGCAUAAUCUCACAUGAGCCUAUGUCGGUUUAGCUAGUUGGUGGGGUAAAGGCCUACCAGGGACAUGAUCCGUAACUGGUCUGAGAGGAUGAUCAGCCACACUGGAACUGAGACACGGUCCAGACUCCUACGGGAGGCAGCAGUGGGGAAUAUUGGACAAUGGGCGAAAGCCUGAUCCAGCCAUGCCGCGUGUGUGAAGAAGGUCUUCGGAUUGUAAAGUACUUUCAGCGGGGAGGCGUUAACCGCAGAAGAAGCACCGGCUAACUCCGUGCCAGCAGCCGCGGUAAUAC